UAUUGCACUUCUGAUUUGGCAGUGAAAUUCGCCGAUUUUGGGUGCGUAAGAUGUGAAGGAUUCUAUGGUCCAGUUAGUAUUUUCACCCCAUAAUGGCCGCCGCGCUACAGGCGCGCCAUCUAGUGGCUGUUACCCAAAAAGUAUCAAAGUGUCGCCUCUUGGGUUCUAAGCUCUUUGUUACAAUAUGCUUCGUCGAACGCAAAGUGGACUCCCAUGCAGGCGCUGGUGACAGUUGUUCGGAAGCGAAAAGAUGAAUAGCCUAAACCAUGAGAAAAUUUCUGGGUGUAGGCUACUGUAUUUUCUUUUAAUACAGAAUAGCAAUGGGAUUCCUUCUGAUUCAUCAGUUGAGAAACAAGAGGAGGAGGAAGCCAAGCAAGAGAAACAACAACAACAACAACAACAACAACAACGAAAAAAGGACAAAACGUGUUACUUUCUGUCAGGACUUUAGAAUUUGAAAUGAAAAGUUGAUAUUAAAAAAAUGAAUAAAUGAAUAAUAAGUGUUGCAGACCUGUUUUUUAAUUAAGUUGUUUUUCAAAUAAAUGUUUCGGAGUCAGUGAUAUUAGAUUGUUUGCGUUUUUUUUUUUUUUAUUUUUUUAUUACUUACCCUGUAACUACAUGAAAUAAGAGUGUAACAAGCACCACUUUAAUUUAAGGCCCGCAAUGUCAUACUUACCCUGUAACUACAUGAAACAAAAGCAUAUUUCCCCAUGUAUUAAAAAAGAUUGCAAAAGUUCUUUGCACUUUCUCGCUAAAUUGCUCCCAAACAUAAGAUUGUUGUCUAUCAUAAUAGUAUAAAUACCUCUUAGUUCUAAAAUACUUACAGUAUAAAUAAUUUGUUAUUUUCCUGGUUGUUACCCCUUUAUUCCCAAGACUUUACAUAUUGUUCCCCUAUACUUACUUACUUUAUAGGUACAAUAUAAUUAUCAAAAGUUACGCUGUAAAUUCAUUGUAAUUAUGCAGUACUUUCCGGGCUGUAAUCUAAAGCGUUACCGUCUUUCUUUUCCCUCAAAAAAAAUUGUUGUUAGCAACAAGAAAACUGAUCAGUGACAGUGAAUCUCAUUCAUAAAUGUUUCUAGGCAGCUAGUAGUUGUUACGUGUGAUAAUCCAAACAGAGAUGCUUGAUGCAGAAGAACAAUGAUCUCACAUUUAAUAAAAAACAGUAACAAUACAAAUAAACACAAGGACAAAACUUCAACACAAAACAAUGAACAGAAGAUAACUGAGGGUUUAUAUAGGAUGACAAGGGGCUAAUGAGGAACAGCUGAAGGUGAUAAGUUGUUACUGAGAUUAACAAGGGUAGUUUGUUGGAAACAAACAAAAUGGCAAUGGAAACAAGGAACAGGAAGUAAAUACACAGGAACUGAACACAGGCACAUUAAGAAAAAGAAUAUCAAAAUAAGAGUCCACGAACAAAGACACCUCCCUACCUCUAUAGUCCACUUGAAAGAGUGAAUAAAAUGAGUGAAGGAAUUCGAGGACUGCACUGGAAGUGCUGUGGAUGCCAUCUUCAAGAUGCAGGAAUUAAUUUGGGUAUUCUCUCACCUUUGUGUACAUUUGUUGUACACUCAUUACUGCGGUGCAUUAUGGGAUUGAAUGAGUGCAUCAGGAAAUGUCCACUAUGAUUUCAGACACCACUGCUAAAUUGCUGCUCCCUCAAAUAGUGCACUAAGUAAAAAUAAAGACUCUGAGAGGAAAUAAGUUGUUUUGUGUUUUGACUCUGGCUCGGAAUUUGGAUGCGGAGACGUCACUGACAUGUUUGGACUGAACCGUAUAAGGUCCAGUAACGUUACUCUACUUAGGCAAUUGAACUGAAACUCAGAACCAUGUGGGUGUUAGACACUGGAUUUUAGCCCUUGCUUACUGCAUAUUUGUUUGGAAGAUUCUUUUUUUUUUUUUUUUUUACUUAGAGGACAUAUAGACUUGUGCUGUUUCAGUUGGAUUGCACGUCAGAACAAGUGAGUCUUUUUGUUUGGGGGCAGUUUUAUAUCUUGGCUCCUUAAAAACUUCAAGGUGCAAUAUGUAAUAUUUUCUGUCCGCUAGAGGUCGCUAGAGGCCUAUUCAAAACAAAGGCGUAGCUUGAUGACGCAAAGUUUGAGCGCGGAAUCUUGGGACAUGUGGUCUUCACCUCAACGGCUGGUAGAAAAGAAUUGGGAUAGGACUCGGGAAGAAAUCGUGUUCAUGGAUGCGAUUAUUAACGUUACUGUAGUAAGAAGCAGCGCAGGACCGAGUGUUGUGGGAGCUGAACGAGGCCGCUGGAGCGAUUGCGCAACACACGCCGCGAGCAGCGGAACUUUUAUUAUGCCGCAGUCGCCGGCGCUGCUUCCGCUUUUCCAGUCAUGAGUAUGAGGUAAUGCAGCUCUGUUUAUCAUAUUAGAUACAUUUGAGUGUGUUGAAAAUGAUGUUAUAACAUUACUCUGUGCGUUCGCUCGAUGGCUGCUGUGAGACACUUGUUGCACACUGCAGUAAGCUAUAUUGAUUUUACAAUAUCAUAUGAAAUGCUGGAUGGCUUGUGUUGAUAAAUGCAAUUAAUUUUAAAACGUAUUGUAUGAUGGAGUUUCUGUAUUACUGUUACUAAAAAUAAAGUUGCAUCUGAUUAUGCUGUGUUAGCUACUUCACAAAAUAGUUUUUUUCUCUGAAGCAUGGCAAAGCAUGGUACUCGCAAAAAAUCAAGAAAAUUAGAUUUAAACAAUGAGACUAACGUUAAACGUGUUGAGCUAUAUAACAAUAAUUAGUUCUGUCUAUAAAUAUAUCAAAAAAAGUUGUUCCCUUGCCUAUUAAAACAUAUAAAUAUUAAAGCGUCUUUGGUGUUUCCAUGGUUUCUACAAAAUAAAACUGGAAACCGAGGGUAACGCGGGUAUGACGCAAUUGACAGGUGACUCCUCACACAUCCCGGAGCCUUGGUUAAAAUUGCAAUUUUCUUUCGAUUUACAAAUAGUUGCAAACAUUUGGGAUAUUGUAAGUACUCAAGUGAACAAAAUAUAUAAUACUGGCCUAGUGGUUUUUGGAUAUUUUACUGCCAAAUUCUCACAUAUUGCACCUUUAACUAAUUUAAAUUAUUUUCUCUGUGAGAAUUAUAAUUACAUUCUUUCCUACAAAACAGCCAGUCUGUCAAACGUGGCAACAACUUAUUAAUCAUACUUACAGGUUGUGAUUCAGAGGAGGAAUAAGCUGGUCCAAAUAAACUGGGUACUGACCCAUCCUUCAAUAACAACCGGCUUGCGAAUCCCUCGUUGAACGCAUUUAGGUUGAAGAAGCAGUCGUCAGUAAAAUGACAAGAACACACAGCACAAGGUUCGGGUUUCAAGUUUUCCCUGGUGUCUGCGCGCGCAAUAAGUGAGCUAAUGUUUCGUUGUGACGUCAUAACGAAACUGCUUGGGAUUUGUUUGACAAACGACUCGUUUAAUUGACUCAGAGUCGACUCUUACUUUUGAGAGACAAUAACUUAAUAUACGGUGCACUUUCAGAUUUAAAACUUUGCAGGAUGUUUUCAUUCAUUUAGAGCCAUGUUACACACUGCAUGAAAGGUAAUUUUCAAAAAUCCAUAAUAGGGGCACUUUAAUAUUUAAAAACAUUUGUGUGCUGCUACGUGUCCCUGUGUGUGUAACAAGCAGAGUGUAUGUGCGCUGUGCACCCGACUAUAGUCGCAUAUUACUAAUGCGUCCUUUAAAUAAAAAAAUAAAAAAAUUACUGCACUACUGACUUUAGACCAGGUUUUUGUUGAUCAGUGGCACAGUCGUUUUCAGUUGCCUCAAAAUAGCAACAUGCCAACAAUGCGCCUGAACACCAGGACCAGCGAACAGAUGGGCGCAGAUGGGCGCAAGUGCAUUUGUUAUUUAAACAACAUGGCGCUAGACGUGAAAAUGAUAACUGUGUCGGACUGAAACUAGCAAAAAACACUUGCGUCGCGGCUGGCGUCGCGUUGCGCCAGAUAGGGCCUAUUAACGCUUAUAAUACCAAUGUUUUAACAUUUCAUAGUGCUUACACUGCAAAUCUAUUUUAAUAAAUUAUUUAUUAAUGUGUCAUAAACAUAUAGAUUUUAAUGAGAGAUAAUAAAAAAUUCAAUGGUGUGUGUGUGCACACUGCAAUUUUAGAGUCCAAAUUAUUUAUUAAAAUAUAUAUUUUGUAUAAAAUAAAAAAGUUUUUAGUGCCAUACAUUUGCUUCACAGUAAACUUAAACUUCUAUAACUUUUUUACACUUUCAUGUUUUGAAGUGUUUCCAUUUCUUCUUUAAAACGAGACCAAACUUAGGCCUGUUAAAGAUCCCAGGUGUGACCAUUUAAUUUUAUAAAACCUAUGAACAAAAAACAACAACAACAAAAAAACUAUACAUUCAUUUGCAAUGAAGACAAGCAAGUUUUGUACUAACCACAAUGAGCUAGUGGUGUAUCGGCUGCAGAGAGCAAUAAACCACCAACAGCCAAGCAACACUUAGAAACCAAACCCUAUGCAGAAAAUGUCAAACUAAAAAUUCAGUUUUUCUAUUUAGCUUUUUUCAUGUUAGCAAAUUUGCAUGUUUAUGGAUCUAUGCAGUUCAUUGUAAAAUAACAAAUUUCAAAGUUUGAUUUUUGAUACUUGUGUAUGAUAAACAAUUUGGUUCUAUGUUGGGUUGCCACAAGAUGUCCAAUGUAAAAUCUGGGUUCUGAAGUAAGUACCAGAAAACAACUGAUAACUAACUAUGUGCCAUAUAACCAUACAAAAAUAGUUCAUAGCACUGAAAGCUAAUUAAAUUGCAAAAUAACUACAAGAUGUGGUCAGUGAAACAUGACCACAUCAACUUCCUCUUGAUGUGGCUGAAAUUCCCCUCUUGAAAGUUCUGGGGUAAAGUUUCCUCUCAGUCACAGCAGAAAUCCAGACUGCAUCAUGUUGAAGUGUUUUAACAUCAUGAAGAUCAUGCAGCUUCAUCUCUAUCUGCUUAUAUGGUGUGAAGCUGCAGAGACUUUAACAGAUCAACUAACAGAUUUAGGUCAAAAUGUGACUAUAAACUGUGAUCUUGAUGAAAAUGAGGUUUAUUGGUUAUUACUAAAACUUCCACAUUCUCCAGUUCUGAUAUUACUCUCUACCACACCUUCAACUACUUUUCACUACAAUCUAACCUUUCAGCAAAAAUAUUUAGUGCAAAGUAAACACAAUCUCCUCAUAAAAAAUGUCACCAUUGAUGAGUUAGGAGUUUAUUACUGCGUGACCACCAAAGACAUACAACCAAAAUACAGCGACGGCACAAGACUGCACAUCAUUGUGUUUGUACAGUACCAACUUCAACUCCAGAGUUCCAGAAUCAUACAGCGGUGAAGUGCAUUGAGAAGAAUCAGACACAUUGGCUGGUUAUUAUCCUCAUAUCUGCUCUGUUGAACGCUGUUCUGAUCAUUGUGAUCACGGGACUGGUAAAGGUGUUUGUUCUUGGAAGCAAGAGAACCAGAGACAACUUGAAACAAUCUCAAGAUACAAACUUACAACAGCCUCAAGUCAUGGAUCCUGAACAGCCACAAGACUUAACUCAUGUGCAGUACGCUACAGCAGACUUCUUCCACACCAUGUAAAAGGUUUCAGCCCAGACAAAUAAACAGCACAUAUGCACUUCUACAGCUGCCAGAAUCAAGAACACAUAAUCAAAUCUGACACCAUUUAUUUUCUGUUCUCACUGUAUUUGAUCACAUAUUGCAUAACUAUAUAUAGAUUUAUUUAAUCUGCAUAUUUAGCUCGCUAGUUGUUUUUUACCCCAAGGGUUGUGCAAGAGACUGUUUUGUUUAGAAUAAGCAUAUUAAAGUGAAUAGUAAGUUAUGAUUAAUACUUGCUUAUCUUGGAUGUAAUAUAGUUAAUAUCUGUAAUUACUUGUCAUUUUAAAUCUCAAUGUUGUGAUUUCAUUGUUUUUAAGUGUGUACUCUUACAUUGCUAGAAAUAUGUUGUAAUGUUGAUAAAUUUCAAUUUGAUUUGUGAUAAACAAUAGCAUUGAGUUUGCAGGCAGAUGUUGAAUGUGAAUUAUAUAGACUGGAAGUCAAAUAACAGAACAACCUAAAAAUGUACAGUUUGCUUUAGAAAUGUUUUGCUUGAUAUUCUUAUUUGUGAUAACUUGCUAAUUGAUGGUCAUUCAGUAUUCAGAUAUCUUUGUUUAAAGACUGAUAAACAUUAAACUGAUUUCCGGUGCUAGUUUCAUGUCUUUCUACUCUGGUUUCCCAUCUACUCACAUUAACUCAUUUCAGUUCAAUAUGUAUUUAUUUGGUAAGUAGUCAAUAAGUGGGAUAAUAAAAAAAUAAAAAAAAAGUAAAAAAUGUAUUAAAGGUUUAAGUGAAUAAUUAAAAGUAGGAACGGUAAAAUAAUUUCUACUGCAGUUGUGAAGUAAUCAAUUUAAACUAAGAAAACGAAAAAGGUUUCUUGUCUUGUCACAUUCAGUUAUGAGUUACAUGGAUGAAAUGUAAAUUAUACCAUACAACAGUGAAAAUUUUUAAAAAGUUGAGUUGUUUGCAUCCGUGGAUAUUACUGUCGGUUGUUCAGCAAUCCUCUCAAAAAAAGGUAAAUAUUAAUGUUUAGCUGUUAAUUUCCAUGCACUCUUUCAGAAGUAAAACUAAAGCGUUGUGCUGGAAUUCAUACUCUUCUUCUGUACAGUAAGACCUGCCUUCUUUUAUUUUAUUGGUCAUCUCACUCAUUUUGACAUUGACGAGCACUGUUAAGACGGUUGAGACAGAACAAUUUUUUAACAAGCUUUUAAAACUUUUUGUCAUCCAAAUAACAAACAGAGAUGCGUGUAAUGGAGUGCAGCAGUCAUCAGAGCAGCAACAUAUCAAAUAUUGAGGGACAAUUUGGCCAUUUCUGAUUUUUGGGGAGAUUUGUCCCUCUAAAUGUCUAUGGUGGUUAUAUAUCUAACAUACACUCUACAUUUCAUACAGUUAUAUGGAUAAUAUCUUCUACAUUUAAAAUUUAUAAUAAACGACUGCCAUACAAAGAGUCAAAAACAUAUCUUAGGCCUUGGCCUACCUAAUGCAGAGGAAGCCGCCUCUUUUCCGAGUUGCGUAGUGGAAGCUAUAGCAUCAGAGUUAGAGCCCCCUCUUCUUUAGUUUAGUAGCAUAAGCCUACACUACAGUGGAACAGGAGGAGAAGAGAGUCCUCUCGCGUACUGUGAUAUGAUUCGCGAGUUGGGAGAGAAUGGGUUUCUUGUUUUUGUUUUGUUUUGUUUUUUUAGUAUAGUAGCCUAUUUAAAAACGAUUUAACCCUAAUUUACUCAUUCUACUCAUUUAAAUGAUAGGAUAAGACAAAUAAAAUGAGAAAAUGUGAAAUAUAUAAUUUAUUUUUCUUUCUUCAUAGCUCCCACAAAAUCAUAAAUGGCUUGGGUCCCCCCCCCAAACUCCGCACAUGGUUUAAAUUUAGUGUGUUCAUCACAUAAAGAUAAUGUACGGCUUCAGAAGACUAGAAAUGUAGCCCAUGUAACCCCUCCUGUUCGAACUGCCUGCGCCUCUUGAGAUCAGAGGAGUGAGGUCUUACCGGCCUACGUCUCUUACACCCACACAUUACAUGGAGGGAGAAUGGUUUAUGGUACUUAAUUUAUGAUUUUAUGUCUUUAGAGCUUGACCGUAUAAAUUAAACAUGAUUUUAUUGUAUGAAACAGAGCUGAUCUUUAAAGUCUCAUAUUGUGUUCCACAGUAGAAAAAAAGUCAUACAUGUUUGGAACAACAUGACAAAAAUGUUGAUAUUGGGUGAACUGUCCAUUUAAAUUACUUAUUUGUACUUUGAAAUCUAAGAGGACCAUGUGCAUUA